CGGGAUAUUCCUCCCGUGUUCGCUCGAGGAUGAGGCUGCGGCGUAUUAGGUAGUUGGCGGGGUAACUGCCCACCAAGCCGAGGAUACGUACGGGCCCUGAAAGGGGUAGCCCGGAGAAGGGAACUGAGACAAGGUCCCUAGCCCUACGGGGUGCAGCAGUCGCGGAACCUUUACACUGCACGAAAGUGUGAUAGGGGGAUUUCGAGUGGCCACACUGUGGCCUUUUGCCAAAUCCAAAUAAUUUGGCGAAUAAAGGGGGGGUAACAUACGUGCCAGCCGCCGCGGUAAUACGUAGUCCCUAAGUGGUUCCCACUUGUAUUGGGCCUAAAACACCUGUAGCCGGUGUGGUAAGUCCUUGGUGAAAUCGGCUCGCUCAACGAGUCGAAUUGCUAAGGAUACUGUCAUGCUAGGGGAAUUAAGACGUUAGGGGAAUUUUCGGGGUAACGGUGAAAUGUUAUGAUCCUGAAAAGACCUCCAGUAGCGAAGGCGCCUAACGAGGAAUAUCCCGACGGUGAGAGAUGAAAGCUGGGGGAGCGACCUGGAUUAGAUACCCAGUUAGUCCCAGCUGUAAACGAUGCUGACUAGGUGUUCCGUCUCCUACAUGGAUUCGGGGUGCCGAAGCGAAGGCAAUAAGUCAGCUGCCUGGGGAGUACGCCCGCAAGGGUGAAACUUAAUGGAAUUGGCGGGGGCUCACUACAAGGGGUGGAUGCUGCGGUUUAAUUGGAUGCAACGCCCGAAAAUCUUACCAGGGAAGACAGCAGGGUGAUUGACAGUCUGAAGGGCUUUCAUGACGCGCUGAGAGGUCCUGUAUGGCCACCGCCAGCUCGUACCGUGAGGCUUCCUGUUAACUCAGGCAACGGGCGAGACCCACGCUCUUAGUUGCUACUGUGGCUUUCGCUGCGGGCACUCUAGGAGGGCUGCGAUAGUAAUAUCGAGGAAGGAGUGGUCAACGGUAGGUCUGUAUGAGCCGAAUUUCCUGGGCAACACGCGGCACACAAUGGUUGAGACAAUGGGUUGCUAACCCGAAAGGGGGCGCUAAUCUCUCAAACUCAACCUCAGUUCGGAUCGAGGGCUGUAACCCGCCCUCGUGAAGUUGGAAUCCCCAGUAAUCGCGUGUCAUUAUCACGCGGUGAAUAAGUCCCUGAGCCUUGCACACACCGCCCAUCAAGCCAGCUGAGUGGAGUCUGGAUGAGCUUAUGCCUUUCGGUGUAAGCGAUUCUUGGUUUCGCGAAGGGGGCUAAGUUGUAACAAGGUG
rnacentral:rRNA from 1 species